GAUCUACUAGUCAUAUGGAUUAGAGUUUGAUCCUGGCUCAGGACGAACGCUGGCGUCGCGCCUAAGACAUACAACAUGAAGUCGUAAUCGUUAGUAAUCGCAGGUCAGCAUACUGCGGUGCAUACGUUCCCGGGCNUUGUACACACCGCCCGUCACGCCACAACAAGUCUGAGACACCCGAAGUCAGUUGGCCUAACCCGNAAAGGAGGGAGCUGCCGAAUGUAGGUCAGAUGAUUGU
rnacentral:rRNA from 1 species